rnacentral:rRNA from 1 species
UUCCGUAGGUGAACCUGCGGAAGGAUCAUUAAUGAAUUAUAAGCCGAUCGUCUGUGCUGGUGGCAACACAUGUGCACGUCAGUCGCAAAUCCACACACCUGUGCACUUUUGACUUUGGGAUUCGCUUGUUGGCUUGUCUGACUUGCAGCUGGUUGGCCUUGUGCUGGCUUGGGUCUCAGAGUAAAUUUUUACACACUCUGAAUGUAAUGGAAUGUCUUGUGCAUAAUGCAUAUAAAUACAACUUUCAACAACGGAUCUCUUGGCUCUCGCACCGAUGAAGAACGCAGCGAAAUGCGAUAAGUAAUGUGAAUUGCAGAAUUCAGUGAAUCAUCGAAUCUUUGAACGCACCUUGCACCUUUUGGCAUUCCGAAAGGUACACCCGUUUGAGUGUCAUUGUAAUCUCACUCCUUCAACUUUUGUUGACGGAUGUGGACUUGGACUCUGUUGUGUUACUACGACUGGUCUUAAAUGUAUGAGUGCACCCUGCUGUUGCAGCGUCUUCAGUGUGAUAAGCAUCUUCACUGGAUAAAGUUCCUUUGGGACACGCAGGCAUUGUGGGCUCUGUGCUAACAACUGUCUUUGGACAACUUUGACAAUUUGACCUCAAAUCGGGUGGGACUACCCGCUGAACUUAAGCAUAUCAAUAAGCGGAGGAAAAGAAACUAACAAGGAUUCCCCUAGUAACGGCGAGUGAAGAGGGAAAAGCUCAAAUUUUGAAUCUGGUGUCUUUGGCGCCCGAGUUGUAAUCUAGAGAAGUGUUUUCUGCCUUGGACCACACAUAAAUUCCCUGGAAUGGGGUGUCAUAGAGGGUGAGAAUCCCGUUUGUGGUGUGGACUACCUUGGCUCUGUGAUACACUCUCAACGAGUCGAGUUGUUUGGGAAUGCAGCUCAAAAUGGGUGGUAAAUUCCAUCUAAAGCUAAAUACUGGCGAGAGACCGAUAGCGAACAAGUACCGUGAGGGAAAGAUGAAAAGCACUUUGGAAAGAGAGUGAAACAGUACGUGAAAUUGUUGAAAGGGAAGCGUUUGAAGUCAGUCACAUUGGUCGGAAUUCAGCCUGGCUUCUGCCUGGUGUAUUUUCUGGCAAAUGGGUCAGCGUCAAUUUUGACUGAGGGAGAAAGACUUGAGGAAUGUGGCUGUCUUCGGGCAGUGUUAUAGCCUCUUGUUGUAUGUCUCAGUUGGGAUUGAGGAUCGCAGCACGCCUUACGGCCGGGGUACGCUCUCGGUACGUGCUUAGGACGCUGGCAUAAUGGCUUUAAGCGACCCGUCUUG